rnacentral:rRNA from 1 species
UUGAAAGGGAAACGAUUGAAGUCAGUCAUGCCGGCGGGAAUCAACUUAGGGGAAACUUUAAGUGCACUUCACGUUUGGCAGGUCAGCAUCGAUUUUGGAUGUCAUAAAAUGAUUGGGGGAAGGUAGCUCCUUCGGGAGUGUUAUAGCCCUUGGUAGAUGUGAUGUCUGGGAUCGAGGAUUGCAACGGAUACCCUUUGGGCUAGCCGCCUGAUCUCUAACUAGUGUUGGGUUACGGACAGCAUGCUGACCGUGAUUUAAUUAUUGGUUAAAAGGUUAGAGCGAGUGUAAAUUCGUUAAGGAUG